rnacentral:sRNA from 1 species
GCUUCAUGCCCCGUUGGGCGUUUCCUCCCUUGACUUGGGCCGCUCGCAGCAGUGCGGGCGGCCCCUUUAUUGCCCACC